GUACUACUCCCUCCGUUCCGAAUUACUCGUCUAAAAAAAAUGUAUCUAGAUGUAUUUUAGUUGUAGAUACAUCCAUUUUUGUGACAAGUAAUUCCGAACAGAGGGAGUACUAA
rfam:Triticum aestivum genome assembly, contig: Triticum_aestivum_CS42_TGACv1_scaffold_061059_1DL